UACGGAGGAUCCAAGCGUUAUCCGGAUUUAUUGGGUUUAAAGGGUGCGUAGGCGGGAGAUUAAGUCGGUGGUGAAAUUUUGCAGCUCAACUGUAAAAGUGCCAUUGAUACUGGUUUCCUUGAGUGUGGAUGAAGUAGGCGGAAUUUGUGGUGUAGCGGUGAAAUGCAUAGAUAUCACGAGGAACUCCGAUUGCGCAGGCAGCUUACUAAACUACUACUGACGCUCAGGCACGAAGGCGUGGGGAUCAAACAGGAUUAGAUACCCGGGUA
rnacentral:rRNA from 1 species